rnacentral:rRNA from 1 species
UUGCUCUUCAACGAGGAAUUCCUAGUAAGCGUGAGUCAUCAGCUCGCGUUGAUUACGUCCCUGCCCUUUGUACACACCGCCCGUCGCUACUACCGAUUGAAUGGCUUAGUGAGGUCUUGGGAUUGGCUUCGGGGAGCCGGCAACGGCACCCUGUCGCUGAGAACUUGAUCAAACUUGGUCAUUUAGAGGAAGUAAAAGUCGUAACAAGGUUUCCGUAGGUGAACCUGCGGAAGGAUCAUUAUCGAGUUUUGACUGGGUUGUAGCUGGCCUUCCGAGGCAUGUGCACGCCCUGCUCAUCCGCUCUACGCCUGUGCACUUACUGUGGGUUACAGGAUCGCGAAACAGGCUCUUUACGGGGCUCGCAGAGCGCGCUUGUGCCCGCGUUUAUCACAAACCCCAUGAAGUAUUAGAAUGUGUAUUGCGAUGUAACGCAUCUAUAUACAACUUUCAGCAACGGAUCUCUUGGCUCUCGCAUCGAUGAAGAACGCAGCGAAAUGCGAUAAGUAAUGUGAAUUGCAGAAUUCAGUGAAUCAUCGAAUCUUUGAACGCACCUUGCGCUCCUUGGUAUUCCGAGGAGCAUGCCUGUUUGAGUGUCAUGAAAUCUUCAACUUACGAGCUUCUUGCGAGGUUUGUAGGCUUGGACUUGGAGGCUUGUCGGUCUUUACAGGUCGGCUCCUCUUAAAUGCAUUAGCUUGGUUCCUUGCGGAUCGGGUUGUCGGUGUGAUAAUGUCUACGCCGCGACCGUGAAGCAUUUGGCAAGCUUCUAACCGUCUCGGUAUAGAGACAAGUUUAUGACCUCUGACCUCAAAUCAGGUAGGACUACCCGCUGAACUUAAGCAUAUCAAUAAGCGGAGGA